GAGAGAGAGAGAGAGAGGUGUGAAAAUGAGAGAGAGAGGUGUGAAAAUGAGAGAGAGAGAGAGAGAGAGAGGUGUGAAAAUGAGAGAGAGAGAGAGAGAGAGAGGUGUGAAAAUGAGAGAGAGAGAGAGAGAGAGAGAGGUGUGAAAAUGAGAGAGAGAGAGAGAGAGAGAGGUGUGAAAAUGAGAGAGAGAGAGAGAGAGAGGUGUGAAAAUGAGAGAGAGAGAGAGAGGUGUGAAAAUGA